rnacentral:rRNA from 1 species
GAUGAACGCUAGCUACAGGCUUAACACAUGCAAGUCGAGGGGUAGCAGGGUAGCAAUACCGCUGACGACCGGCGCACAGGUGAGUAACACGUAUCCAACCUUCCCAUAACUCGGGGAUAGCCUUUCGAAAGAAAGAUUAAUACCCGAUAGUACUUUUUCAAGGCAUCUUGAGAAAGUUAAAGAUUUAUUGGUUAUGGAUGGGGAUGCGUUCCAUUAGAUAGUUGGUGAGGUAACGGCUCACCAAGUCUUCGAUGGAUAGGGGUUCUGAGAGGAAGGUCCCCCACAUUGGUACUGAGACACGGACCAAACUCCUACGGGAGGCAGCAGUGAGGAAUAUUGGUCAAUGGGCGAGAGCCUGAACCAGCCAAGUAGCGUGAAGGAUGGAGGUCCUAUGGAUUGUAAACUUCUUUUAUAGUAGAAUAAAGUGAUCCACGUGUGGAUUUUUGUAUGUAUACUAUGAAUAAGGAUCGGCUAACUCCGUGCCAGCAGCCGCCGCGG